UAAGGAACGAGUUUGGAAACAAAUUGCAACAGACUUGCAAGUUAAAGGUGGAGUCGAGGAAUGCAAGAAAAAGUGGACAUCAGUUCGUGAUCAGCUACGGAAGACUUUGCAGAAAAGGAAAACCAGCUCAGGACAAGCUGCUGUGCGUCAGCACAAAUAUAAGUACGAAGACCUCUUAAUGUUCUUGCUACCCCACAUUGCAGAACGAGAGACAAUUUCCAAUGUUCUAUAUAAUCCCGAAGGAGAGGAGGGUGAACAUGAAUCUACUUUAGAAGAAUCUCAAGACGAGGAUUCUAAUAUUCAAGAUUUUGCGCAAAAAAAUAGUGGAAAUGAGGAACCUAUAACUGAAAAUCAGGACAGUGAAACACAAAGUGGAAUAACUGCUCAGUCUUCGCAAAUGCCCCCGGCAGGGUCCUCCCUCUCUUCCAAUAAUAAAAACAAAUUUGUAAGGCCGCCGUUAAAACGAAAAUUUCAGCAUGAGCGCCAUCUACAACAAUCACCGUCAAGCCAGCUCAUGACUUAUAUUUUAGCAGAAAAAGAAGCUGAAAAAGUAGCUAAUAAACGUUCAAGAGAGAGGGAAGAGCAACAUCCGGUUGAUGCUUUUUUAGCGGGUAUAGCACCAGCCCUUAAAUCGCUGCAUCCGAUACUUUUUAAUCAGGCGAAAGGAAGCAUUUUUUCAAUUGUACAAGAGUUUGAAUUAAAGCAACUCACAAAUAAUAGUUACCCUCAGAAUCAGUAUAUUCCUCCGAUUUCGCCAGCAUCUUCGUCGCUAACUGUUCCAACGCCAGAACCUUCACCUGUACAAUCAUUGUCUAGUCCUACAUACUUUGAAUUUUAGGCAAAAUGCGGAAAAAUAUGUCACCACUACUAACGAGCCUUUUUUAAAAGUUUUUUGCUAUAAUAAUAUAAUUUGUUUAUUAAAUA
rnacentral:lncRNA from 1 species